AUGUCCCUGCUGUGUUCGUGAUGCGCCACGCGUCUUGAACCAACACUCCCUGAUUAGGAGACCUUAUUUUAAGAGGGGAUGCGGUAGCCUGCGAAAGGGCAAGGCUGAGCCUUCUUAAUCGGGUUUCCACCUGCUUAUGCAGGUUCAAGGAUAAAUGGCUGACACACGGCAUGGCGGGGUUAAA
rnacentral:other from 1 species